ensembl:lncRNA
CCAGAACACACCUUCAGCCAGAUUUGAAUAUAGAUUUAGGUUUUAAAACCCAGAAGCUGGAAACACCACUUUAUCAAAGAGAAUUUCCCUUUAGCUUAGCAAUAUGCUGCAGCUCUCAAAAGAUUGGAUCUGAAAGAAAGAGACGGAGGAGAAUGAGAGCCAGAGACAGAGAUGCAGACAAGGGAGGGAAGGGGAAAAAAGACUUUUCUUUUCUUUUCUUUUUUUUCUUUCUAGAGGAAUUCUGCCCAGACUCUCCAGCAGUUGGUAGCAGGCAGGCUUUCUCCUGUGUCGCCUGGAAAAGUUGCAAAAUUGCUCUUCACCUGUAAGAACAUGCUUUUUUAUCUUCCAGUCUCUUCUUGUCAAUUUGGAAAUUGCAGACAGCCCGGCUCAGGCAUUAAGAGAAAUUGAUUAGUGACAAGGAAGAGAAGAAAACAUUGCUGGUCAGUAGGCCACGGUAUUCAAGUCCCUCAGAUAAAUGGCUCCUGGGAGGAGAGAACACAUCCAAUGUAAUCCUGACGUAUGCAGAAUUGAGUUCGGUUUGAACCCAGCCAUCAAGGGAUGAAAGCAUUAGGGCCAGAACUCAGGGCCACCAUCUACCAACCAGCUCCACGAUGUGUCCAGCCAUGGAAGAACCCGGUGGCCAAGCGUGAUUAUGCAACCGGUGGGCAGUGACUGAGGACAUGGUGUCCUUGGGAGCAGAGCUCCAUCCCGGGGAAAGGAAAGAGGGUUGAAGAAACCAUCCAAGAUGGGCCCAAACAACAGAAGAUUUCAUUUCCUUCUUUGUGCACUCACUUAACGUUACGCAGUUUAUUAAAAACCUUGCCUCUGCGGGUCAGCGGCAGCACCUCAACCUUGCCUGGCCGCAGUACUGAUAACUUUUCCCGGAGAAAAACGCCCAUAACACCGCGCAUCUAAUUAAAUACUCAGAGAGGCAGAGAAGAAAAUACCGGCACACAGAACUCACACCAGUGAGUCCUGCCUUUGGCUGCUGGAGGCUUCCAUAUGCUGCUGUUGUUUACUCUGGAAGGAAACUGAGUCAUUUAACAUUUCAAUAGGUUAAUCAAUUGGCAAUUAAAUGGAGAAAUUGGUUAACUCUGAAAACAAUUAACACGACACUUCAUUAAGUACAGUUUCUAAUUGCUGCAGCUGUGAGUGGAAGUUAAUGAGUUUGUUAAAGCCCCCGACUGGGGUAGCACUGUGUGUGUCUAUGCACGUGCAUGAGGUGUGUGUGUGUGUGUGUGUGUGUGUGUGUGUGUGUGUGUGUAUGUGUGUGUGUGUGAAUUUGUGUGGUGUGUGUUUGUGUAUGCAUAGUGUGUAUUUAUGUGUGAGUAUGUGUGUCUAUGUGUGGUGUGUGUGUGUCUAUGUGUGGUGUGUGUUUGUGUGUGUGUGUGUGAAUUUGUGUGGUGUCUGUGUAUGCAUAGUGUGUAUUUAUGUGUCUAUGUGUGGUGUGUGUGUGUGCAAAUUUGUGUGCUGUGUGUCAUGUGUGUGUGUGUAUGUGUGUUUUAGAAAGUAGAAAUAACUGGAAAGUAGUUUUAUUCUAUUAUCAACUGCAGUUUUAGCAGAAAGGGGUGAUAUGUAACUUUAUUCAUUCUUCUAAGAGUUCACUUUUAAUUGUUGAAGUAUUUAAUUUACAACAAUUAAUUAAGAUAAACUGAUCCCCUCCCAUCAAACUACAGGUUGUGAACAAAACGAGAAAGUUCUCCUUUUGCUCCCUUUGUGGACACAAUUACUUUGCAGGGUCAGAUAAAUUCCAAGAUUCCUUUCCUAAUUCAAAAAUGUAACACACACGAUGUAGUGGCUAUUCUUGGUUGUCAACUUGACUAUAUCUGGAAUGAACUACAAUCCAGAAUUGGAGGGCUCACCUUUGAUCCUCAUCUUGAAACUGGGAAAUACAAGUUUCUGACCUGGAUCUUGGUAUGGAGAUCUUGAGGCAAAGUGGCUAUGAAUCCCAGGAGCUUAAGGCAAGGAGAUCUCUGAAUUCAAGGUCACCUGGGACAAAGCAAGUCCCAGAGCCAGACCUGGUGGAACACAUCUUUAAUUGGGCCACACCUUCUGCUGGAGAUUUACAUAAGAACAUUGGAAGAAGGAAGAGUCUUUCUCUCUUUUUUAAAAAUUUUUUGCCUGCCUGCCACGUGGACUGAGCCACUGCUAGAGCCUUGGAUCCAUUCAAAGCUGCUGCUGAUCAUUGUUGGGGAGUUGGACCGCAGACUGUAAGGUCAUCGACCAAUUCUCUUCCUAUAUAGAAACUACCCAUGAUUUCUGUGACUCACACAUGACUUAAAGUUAAAAUUUUUGCUGAACAGUUUUUAUGAAUGGUGGCAUCCUGACCUCAAGGUAAAAUGGCGGUGCCCACUAGCCAGCUCUUUUAAGGCGAAAGAUCUCAGGUUUGAGAUUGGUUAGGCUGACACACAGACCUGCUGCAGAGAACAAGAGGAAGGGAAUGCUAAUUUGUUAAGGAGUAAAUGAUGCUUUUAAAAGAUGUCAAAAACAAAUGUAUUUUAAUUAAUUUUAUUAUGUGCACGUGUGUGUGUGUGUGUGUGUGUGUGUG